rnacentral:SRP_RNA from 1 species
CCGCCAUCGCGAGGAGCGGGUAGGGAACCAGGUCAGGACGGAAACGUAGCAGCCUUAACGUAUCUUCCCCUGUGCGGUGGUUUUCU